UCAGGUCUGGCUUUGCAUGGGUCUUAUGCUGUCUCACACACGCCACAAAGACUCUAGGUCUUAGCUCUUGAACAACAGCAAGCGACACUCAACCAUGGAGUGACUGUGGCCCUCAGAAGCUAUUUGGCAAAGUCUGAAGGUAUUUUUGGUUUGUCACAGUUUCGCGGGUAUGAGCUCCUGGCAUCUGGUGAUUAGAGGCCAGAGAUGCUUGCUGCUCAACACCCUGUAACACACAGAUGGCCUCGUCACAAAGAACCUGAGUCCUACAGAAAAGGCGCCGUGACUUCCACAGGAAGCCUACACCCCAUACUAUUCCAAGAGUUCCAGGAGCUGAUGUAGGGAUGCUCCCGAGCAAAACGUUGACUUGGAGUACUGAGCAGUAAAAAUCCAGGCCUGCUCUGCUUACACUGGACAGCGGCUUCAGCACAGGCUCUGAUUCAUGAUGGAUCUAGUCCCUCCUUAAAGGGGAAUCACACCCAGGCAAACACAGGAAGGUGCCCAGCAGGCAAGCCACCGAACUCCCCCACAGGAUGCCCUUUCCUCAGAUACAUGAGUGGCUAUGGCACUCUUGGUGCCCGACAUUGCACCCAGUGAAAGGGCCAGAUGAAUAUGCUGUUGAGUCCCAACAUUCCUUAAACAGCACAGCUUUUCUAAAUCAGCCUUUGCCAUCAGUGCUGCUAAUGUUGGUUUCAUCUGAUGCCACCUUUGGAAGCUAUACAUCAAGCUGAGAAUGAAUGAAGCUCUUGGGGGCAGCAGUCCUGCAGGCCUCCUCCAUGGGCAGAUGAAAGCUGCAUGCCCUUUCCUCAGAACUCCAGUGCCAACAUCACAGACCAGCCUGAGUGUUCAGAAGCUCAUCUGGGUGAAAUUCAAUACCCACGGCAGAGACCGUUGGCUUGAAUUGCACACUCCCUAAGGGGACCCAGUCCUCCUGAGUGAAUCUUCUCCAUAUUGGCUUCGAUAUUAGGACCCACUUCAUCCCUGAACCCGAUGGUUUCCUUAGAAUAAAAUUGUGUGAGUUUAACCCUCAGGAGGGCCCUAGGCAUGGAUAGUCAUGGGUUCAAAGUGAAGAACUGAUCUCCACUUACCAGUUUAGGAAAUACUGCAAGUGAUGUAUUGCUCAAUUCUGUUAACAGAAAACAACACAAUACAAACUCUUAUACCUAUCAA